CGCUAUCUAUGGCGAUUAAAAUAUUUUCCAUUCCUGCUACACUCUUCUUGCAAUUUGACGUUCACUCCAUGCUUCGUCUCGCACUGCUCCUCCGUUUGAUCAAUGGUUAGGGCUCUCCUCCUCCGUUUCAUUAGCGUUAGGGGUUCUUCUCCUCCGUUCACAGUACGUUAUAUGUGAAGGGUAGCAACUUUCUCGUCCCUAAAAAAACCUGCAGCAACAACAUUUUACACUCACAAAAUCUUCUCUCAAAUCAAAACCCUAAAAGUUCAUCCCAAAUAAAAAACCAACCAUGAACGCUCCAUGAUGGAGGAAGCCCUUCAAAUCCCACUAACCAAGGACGCGAAGGAGAUUGAAAUCCCUCAAUCUCUUGAAGGGUAGCAACUUCAAGGUCUCGCAGGGCACGCUCCAGGCGCUUGGCUCUGUCGCCGUUCGAGCUAGCGACCACUUCAAGUUCCAAUUCAAUGUGUUCGCUAAAGUGGGAGAAUGGUGGAGGCACAAAAUGCAAGGAUCUAGAAAGCUUAAGAGUGAGAAGAGAGGGUUCCAGCUUGAAAGCGUUUCGGUUUGAGUAUGGAACGUGUGAAGUUACGGGGUUUGGUGGAGGUGUGUUUUUGGAGAAGACAAACUAAGCUCCAGGUUGUUCAUGCUCUGUUUGAGUUCAAAUAAAAGAGAAAUGUGAUAAGGUGGAGUCUACUGAUGGUUCUGCUACAGUAUCCUCAUCUGGUGAAUCCGUGAUAGAGGCUCUCAAGAUUAAGGAGUGGGAGGUAGGAAUGUUCUAAAAUGAGGUUGCAUCUAUCCAGGGCAUAAUAAUAAGGAGAAGGCCACCAUCUGGACCCCCUUUGCAUUAUGUAGGACCUCGGAACAUUUUGGAAGAGAUUGUGUGGAACAAGGACAAAGUAGUCUCACAACUUAAAGAAAGAAAGCCCCUCAGUGUGCUGAAGAAAGCUCUCGAAAAUGCACCUCCUGCUAGGGAUUUUAUUGGUGCUCUAAGGGUAGCGAAUGAACGAACUGGACUGUCAGGAUUGAUUGCUGAAGUGAAGAACGCAUCACCAAGUAGGGGAUUUUGAGAGAAAACUUUGAUCUUGUUGAAAUUGGUAAAUCUUACGAGAAGGGUGGAGAGCAUGCCUAAGUGUUUUGACCGAUGAAAAGUAUUUUAAGGUAAACCAACAAACGUGGAAUUUGUUAUGUGUGUACUGCUUGAUAAUAUUUGGUUGCUUGAGUACUGAGAGAUUCUACAGCACAAUGAUAACUCACUCUAACUUAAUAUUGGUCCAAGGAAGCUUUGACAAUCUUGAGGGAAUAAGAAAGGUUGGAGUAAAGUAUUUUUCUAAUUGCAGAUGCCAACAUUAUCAUGAAAGUCAAAUCAAUGAAGUUAGGGAAAAUGGGUGUUUACAUGUAAUUAGUACAUGCAUAUAGGUUAUGUUAUGGUGAUGUACAGUACUGAUAGGACAUAUAUGUUAUAGUUGUAUAUAUUAUCUUAUAAAGCAGUGUCAUGUGAUGACAUGUACUAAACGACUUAAUGAUUAAAUUUUGAAAUAUUAU